rnacentral:rRNA from 1 species
AGUGAACGCUGGCGGCGUGCCUAAUACAUGCAAGUCGAACGGAGAUUAAGUAGCUUGCUAUUUAAUCUUAGUGGCGCACGGGUGAGUAAUAUAUAGCUAACUUGCCCAUUACUAAGGGACAACAGUUGGAAACGACUGCUAAUACCUUAUACUCCGUAUCUAUAUAAGUAGAUACGGGAAAGUUUUUCGGUAAUGGAUAGGGCUAUAUCGUAUCAGCUAGUUGGUAAGGUAAUGGCUUACCAAGGCUAUGACGCGUAACUGGUCUGAGAGGAUGAUCAGUCACACUGGAACUGAGACACGGUCCAGACUCCUACGGGAGGCAGCAGUAGGGAAUAGUGCUCAAUGGGGGAAACCCUGAAGCAGCAACGCCGCGUGGAGGAUGACACUUUUCGGAGCGUAAACUCCUUUUCUUGGGAAAGAAUUAUGACGGUACCCAAGGAAUAAGCACCGGCUAACUCCGUG